rnacentral:misc_RNA from 1 species
AAGGAUCAUUAACGAUUCUAGUUGUGCUGGCUUUGCAAGUGCACGCUUAUCCUUAUACUUACCUGUGCACCCAUGGUCUAAUCUUUGAAUCCAAAGGUUAGACUUUGAACCUGAGAGUAGAUGCCUCACGAAUGGUCUUUGUACCGGACGUUCGCUGUCUCAAAGGUUUAUAAUAAAUCCAGUCAUUAGAAUGUCAAAUGAAUUUAUAAACAAAUUACAAUUCCUAACAAUGGAUCUCUUGGCAUCC